rnacentral:rRNA from 1 species
UACGUAGGGUGCGAGCGUUUGUCCGGAAUUAUUGGGCGUAAAGGGCUCGUAGGCGGUCUGUCGCGUCGGGAGUGAAAACUCAGGGCUUAACCCUGAGCCUGCUUCCGAUACGGGCAGACUAGAGGUAUGCAGGGGAGAACGGAAUUCCUGGUGUAGCGGUGGAAUGCGCAGAUAUCAGGAGGAACACCGGUGGCGAAGGCGGGUCUCUGGGCAGUAACUGACGCUGAGGAGCGAAAGCGUGGGGAGCGAACAGG